GGGUGAUUAGCUCAGUUGGUAGAGCAGCUGACUCUUAAUCAGCGGGUCGCGGGUUCGAUCCCUGCAUCACCCA
rnacentral:tRNA from 1 species